GCUUGCCACGGCGCCUCACCUAGCUCGUUUCCUCUUGUUUUCCUUGCCUGCCUUUACUGCUUUGCUUUCGAGCAGCCUCGCCCUCUCCGCUGUUUGUGCCCACCCUCCCCCCCCCACCAACGCAACCCCUGGUCGCACGCUAAUUCGAGACCUUCCCCUACCCCUCGAAGCAUCUCCUGCCCAAGACAGAGCUCUGUCAUUCACCAGCACUGCGCAUUAUCCCGUCGCCUCCACAGCGCAGUCACACGAGCACCCUCAUCGUCGAUAGGCCAUACAGCAUGGCAACUGACAGUGAUACCCUGAUCAUCAUCUUCCUGUGGCUUGUGUACGUUUGCCUGCAUGUCUGCAUCGACUACUGCGAACGUCGCUCGCUGCUCCGGGCCGAGGAGUCGGAGGCCCCAGAGCGUGCACAGGCGGCCGCCGCACGCUCCGGUAGCCAACCGAGAAGCCCUCGGCGCAGAGCAGGCGCCUCCGGGGACGUUACGGCUCCCAUCGCCGUCAUCGUUCUUGGAGCCGACGGGGACCUGAAUACGAACCUCAACGAGCCGUGUGAGGGUGCCGUUGUACCGGGCGCAAACGGGUACAUGCCUGUGCUGCCAGAGCAAGUCCACUACGGCGAGUCGACGUACAUGAAUCGCCAGGAGGACCGUAGUGCUGUUGCUCUAGAGAAAGCAGUGGAGGAGUUGUCGCCAGCAUCGGAAGUGGAUGCAGGAAAAGAAGAUCCAGCUCUCAGAUGAACGCCGCUACCACCUUUGGACGCGAACACACAAAUCUUCUGCUGCGUCACUGGUCCGCUUCCGUGUCGUCUCCGGCAAGUGCGUCCGUCAUGUUCAGUCUUCCUCGUAGCAUCUCGCUGCUGCGUUGCCUAGACCGUCGCAGGAUCCCAUAUUUUUUUUAUUGUGCUCGCCUCUCUGCUUUCCUGGGUAUGGCAUACGGCCGGCGGAGGAGCACGUACUAGCAGAUGCGCCUCUUAUUCUGUUGCUGUGUCUCUCUCACGCACACGAACGU
rnacentral:misc_RNA from 1 species